AAAAAAUUUACAUGACGUAUCCCUAACUGUAGUCCAUGUGACAAUUUUCAAUUUGUUUACACUUUACAAUAUUUACGUCGAAAAACAAUAUUUUUCUGUUUGAUUUUUGAAUGGAUGCUACUCAGAUUCUUGAAGAUUUGGACGAGGAAGACAUUAAUCACAGUGGAACAAAGAAAACGGUUGCAUUUUUAAAGGUUUUUGCUGUGGGGAGUUUUCCAGAGACCCUGUUUCCAGUUUAUGAAGGUGAAAACGUAGUUGGAAGGCACAAUUGUGAUAUCACAUUACCACUGCAGGCUGUGUCAAAGAAACAUGCUUGUAUUGAUGUGCAUGGAAGGAACCACUUGAUAUGUGACUACAAUAGUCGCAACAAAACGCGGAGAAAUCAGAUGUUCCUAAAGCCCCAAGCAUUCUAUGAACUUGUUAAUGAAGUUGAACUGAUGUUUGCUGAUGUUAAAUGUCAGUAUUUACUUGCACAAACUGAGGAUGUGGUUGAAAAGGAAAUUACUGAUUCUGGAUCAGAAACUGCAUCUGAGUCAAUGAUGCCAGAAUCCAUAGAAGAUGAAGAUGAAGAGCUCAAGGAAGAACCACAGAAAGAAUCCUUGGAAAAAUAUCUUGACCAACCUACACUAGAGUACGAUUAUGAAAAUCCAGGUGAACAUUCUACACUUUUCUGUGCGGAAACAGAUGAUGAUGAGACAGAUGAUGAUAAAACGGAUGAUGAAAGUGAAACUAAUGAUAAUGGCAAUAACACUUCAUGUAAUACCAAGCCAUCAUUCAGUAAAGAAAAGACAGUCGAAUAUUCCGCUCAGGCCACUGCAAAUGACUCAACCUUAGAAACUACGAUGCCUUACAAUACCAUACCAAAUACGCAGGAACCAGACGUCAUUCCUGAGACACCUUUUCCUCAAACCAACAGCACUGAGUCGCCAUUUAAACUAAAAAGAUCUGUGGAUGUAAAAGUUGACACUUCAAGACGAGUGUCUGCAGGAAACACACUAGCUUAUGGUUUGUCGACCUUGGAGAGUCCGGCCGAUACUACACGGGAGUCGAUUGACGUUUCCCAAAACGACAGCGCAAAGUCAGAAACGUCUGGUGAAUGUGAAAAAGUGAAGAACAAACUUUUGUUUGACAACACUCCAGAUAAAGAAAGCCCAAGACCUUCAUGUCCACUUCCAAAACAAGACGAACCAUUUGACGAUCUUUUGGCGACACAACUUUAUGAGCCGAUGGAGAUACCAGAGUCUCCAGAGUAUUUAGAAUCAGACAAGAAUGACGAAGAACUCACCACAGAAAAUACGGCGAAAACAACGGCGAGGAAAACACCAGAGGAUACAAUACCGAACUGUAAAAAUCAAGAACCUGAGAACAAAUUCUCCGAGGAUAAAAUCUCGGAUGGCGAAAAUCCAGAGAAUAAAGUCUCUGGUGAUAAAAAGUCGUAUGGUAGGGAUUCUGGUAAUGUGACAUCUGAGGACACAAUACCGAAUUGUAGUACGCUGGAAGAAACUCAGGCGUAUGUUUUACCUCAAGAUGAAUAUGAUGAUAUGCCAACCCAAGCCUACGGGUUGCUUGAUACCGACACGGCCGGUACUGAAGACGAGUUGGCGGAAACGCAGGCCUAUGGAGUCGAAAGUGAUUUGGAAAUUCCCAAACUGGCUGCUCCAACCAAGAGUGUCUUUAAGGUGCCUGGUGCAAUGAAUACGCAGGAUUUGCAUAAAGAUAUUUGCGAUGAUGGUGGUGGAAAGGAAGAGUAUAAUGAUGAGAUGGAUUUUCAGCCGACACAGAAGUACGUGGAAGAAACAAGCGAGUCUUCCGACCCUGACAAUCCAUUAGUGUCUCGUUUCCUGGGAUUCCUGUCAGAAAGUGACAGUGAUUUCAUGUCAACAAAAGAGGAGGUCAAAUCUGAAACGUCGACGCCAGCAGUUAGGAAAUCGUCCGUCGUAAUCGAGGGGGGGAAAACCUUGAGUACAGGAAAACGAUGCCGCGUUGAACUCCCGGAAGAUGAAAUAAGCGAUGAAAAGCUGCAGACUUCGUUACUUGACCCGUCGGCGGAAAAUGACGAUUUCGUCCCGAAGUGUAAAAUAAUGAGGGAGGGAAAAGGGGUGGCACGACGCAGUAGGAAGGGACGUAAGGGAGAACUUGAGAGCAACGAUGGAUCAGAGGGUAAAAGUGAUAGUAAGAAGGAAGCUGCAAAGCCUGUGAGAAAAGGAAGAAGCGGGAAAAAGAAAGAGUUAGACAUUGAUGAAGAAGGAAGAGAUGAAAGUAUUGAUGAUGAGAAACAUACAGUGAGUGAGAAAGAGGACUGUGGGGUAAAAAACACCAAGAAAGGUCGAGGUAAAGAAAUUGAAGAUGUCGAAAAGAAUGAGAGAAAGGUUAGUAACAAAGAUACGCCGGGUAAACAGGCCUCGGAAGAAAGGACUGCAUCAUUAGGGCAGGAUUUGGCGGAUAUUGGGACUCCUGAAGCAAGUAAAAGCAAAACAAGUGGUAAGAAAGGAAGACAAGCUGCAGCGAAGACCUCAAGAAGGAAAGUUGGGUCGAAAUUUGAAGAUGUUCAGGGUGUGGAUGUCAAUGAAGACGUUGUGGUGGAUGAACCUAAAAUGAUACAGCCUCGGACACCUGCGAGGAAAAGAAAGUCGUCGGAAAACGAACAGCAAAAGAAAGGAACUGCAAAGAAGAGUCGUAGAAAUACCAGAACAGAGGUCAUCUCGCCGGAGAAUGAGGGAAUAAAGUUUGAUACAGAAGAUAUUUCACCACCAACGAGUUCUUUAGUAAAACGUUCAUCAUCGACUGCGUCAACUUCAUCCAACGCGAGCAGUAAAGUUUCUCGUUCGGGAAGAAAAGGAAAGAAACAAAUGAAAGAAAACAGCGAGGUACUUGAUGAUUCCGCUGAUGUGAAAAUUGUUUUCACGGGAUUGCAAGAUAGUGCAUUCAACAAAGCAAACAAGAUUGUGCAAGCACUUGGCGGGAAAGUUGUUGAACAUCUUGAGGACUGUACGCAUUUGGUCACUGAUAAGGUUCGACGUACAGUGAAACUCUUGUGUGCAAUAUCACGGGGAAUACCAGUCGUGGAUAUGUGUUGGUUGGAGGCUUCGAAGAAAAGAAAGUCGUUUGCUGAUUCCGAAAGCUACAUCUUAAAAGAUGACGAUGCCCAGCAAAAAUUUAGUUUUUCUAUGGAAAGAUCUCUUAAACUCGCCCGGGAUAAUGCUCUUCUGGAUGGUUACAAAAUUCAUGUCACUCCCAAUGUUCGUCCAUCCCCUCCGGAAAUGAAAGAAAUAAUUAAAAGUGCCAAAGGAGAGGUUUUAACAAGGAUGCCAACGACACGUGAUGUUAAGAAUGACAACGUCAUCGUGUUGUCAUGUGAGGAGGAUAAAAACUUGUGUAUAAAAGCAAAGAUAAAGAAGGCAUACACUGCUGAGCUGCUUCUGACUGGCAUUCUUAAACAGCAGCUUGAUCUAGAACAGUAUGAAUUAUCGUUGAAUACAGAAACGAAGCCGUCAAAACGAAGACAAAAGUCUCUAAAGUAAACUCGUAUCAAAUCAGAUCAGACAAUACAGUAGAUGCUGUCAUUGAUUCUGUCUAGGAGGUGAAGAAUUCGUAGGAGUUUUUACCCGGAUACCUUCGUGGCUAGGGGUCGUUUUCUGGCAAAAUUGGUUUUGCUGUCACUGAUAUGGUGUUGAAGUCAAAGUGGCCAUAGUCAAAGUGGCCAUAGUCAAAUUUUUCGACUGAAAUUGUAUAAGUGGUAGUGCUUUGAAAUCGAUCUUUGAUAUGACA
rnacentral:misc_RNA from 1 species